rnacentral:lncRNA from 1 species
AAACAUGGGGAGUGGAGGAGGUGUAACCAUCCCUUUCGUUAGUGCUGUUUCCUUGUGAGGAAGUCACUAGUUUUAUCUUAAUGACACUUCCUCCUGUCUUUCCAACCCUGAUUCAUCAUCACUAUAUUUCUUUUCACUUUAUUUUUAAUAGCUGAAACUUUUCAUAAUUCAUUUCACUUUGAUGUAGUCAUGCCAAAUUAUUUUUCACAAACUCUUCCUCGGAUUUUCUUCAAUCUUUAUGGUAAUAGCUCAGAAAACCUAAAAGGAUUCUUCUCUGUGUGGAAUGAAGGUGUUAUUAAAUGAGGACAAAGACAGAGGUAAAUAUGAAAGAAACCAUAGCUCCUGGCUCUAUGUUCCUGCUGAGUUUGAAAGUCAGUGGAAUGUGGGAGUCCUUCCUCUUCUCAAAGUAAAUUUCCCCUCACCUGGCAAAGGAUGGACAAAACUGACAGCUCCACCACUGCCCUGAUACCUGAGACAUGUCCAGCCUGCAUACUGAUGUACCAGCCUGCCCUUGGUUUUUCCUCCACUCCCUGUCCUGUCCAGCAACUCCAGGUACCACAUAUUUACAAGAAUGAUCCACUUUGUGAUGUAACAGAGAAUUACCAUAGUAGGAAUGUUCAUUGAAUAUUUUAUUAUGGCUUGGCAACUUUGAUUGAAAAGGCUGAUAAACCUUGAAAACUGUGGGUGAGUAUACAAACUGACAAUUUUUGAUGUCUUAAAUUUUCUCAAAGUACUCAUUUUCUGUCAGCCACAUUGCCACAAAAAUCUAUUUUACUUACAAACACAGAAUUAAAAACCCCCUAUAUGUUAGGUGAUGAAGUCCAAAAUUAGUCUUAUUUUUCUAAAGGUGGCCAACCAGUACCUAGUGACAUUUCAAGUCUAGAAUCAUUCUUUCAUAAGAACCAUGCUCAGCAACUUUC